rnacentral:lncRNA from 1 species
UGCGUUCCAUGAUCGAAGUCCUUACCGAAGACUCUCUUAACUGUUCACCUCUUAUUCAUUCACUUCCCGCUAUACAUUUGUUCCGGAGUGCCGAAGAUAGCUCAGAAGAUUCAUGUUUUCCACUCUGCUUUUCGUUCAAGCUCUUUCGAGAUUGGUAUCUCAUUCAAGCCAUUUAAUUCAACUGGUGAAAAUCUCUCAUUUCAAGCAAUCUCUUCAAUAGUGUAUCUCUUGAGUGGGCCCUAACCCACAGGUCUUUUCCCAGGAUCUUACCUGACUCUUCUAUUUUCUCGGAGCUAUUCUCAAAUCUUCUAAAGUUUGACGUAAGAAUGAAUUAUCAUCAGUCAUAUGUCUUUCUCCAAGAUCUUUCUAAUUCUUUUCAUCAUUGGUUCAACCUUUCCAAUUUUAAUUCCAGAGUGCCUCAACAAUUCUUGGUGGUGUUUCUCGUCAUCAUUCUCGCAUUUGAAGACCAAAAGAAGAGUUUUUCCUCCAUAUCUUGCUUCCUUCUCUUCAAGAUUCGUGAUUCUAGCUUGUUGCUAUCCUCUCAUAAUGGUUUUCGAUUGUGUGAAUUCUCUUCACCCAUCCGGAGCAUUUCAAGAGUCUUUUCCAGUUUGAUUCUUCAGAGCCAAUCAUCUCAGAAUUAUUCAUUCCAGCUUUCAUCUCUCGUUCUCCAAAUCUUACCGGGUGCAUCAUUAAAAUAUCCUCUAAUUAGCUCAUGACCUCUUCGUUUCAUUUGUAUCUAAAUUCUCUCAAGCAUCUUCGUUUAUUUGCUAAUCCUUCCCGGUGUUUCCUCAUGUUUUAUUCAUUCUUUUUCAAUUUUUACGGUGGUUCGUUCAAGAUUUCGCUUUCGUUGCUAUUCUAUUUAUUCAUUCAUUGUUCCCAAAUCCUACCAGUGGAUCGUUGAAGACCUUCUCAAGUUUGCGCUAUAUCUAUCUUAAUCCUUUCUACGAGAAUAAGCAGUAUGCCAAAUCCCUUUGCUCGGAAUCAAUUUAAUUGGUGAAGGAUAUGCACAACAUAAUUCUUAUUAUUGUUUCAUCCAAGUGAUCUAAUUUCCUAUUUUCUGGAGUGGUUCAUCAUAUCACAUUCUCGGUUCGAGAUGCUUUAUCUUCUCCUUUCCAAGAUUUCCAAGCUCUCACAAUUAUAUCACCACGGAGAUCCAUCUAAUCAUUGCAAGUCUUCAACCUUAUUCUUUUCAUCCUUCAUUUCGCUUGAUCAUUCUUUUAUUACCGGAGUUCUUCAUGGAGGUUCUACAUGAUGGUUCAUCAAGGAUUUAAUUCCUUCUCGAAGUGUUCAUCGGGAUUCUUUCAGAGUAGCUCAAGUAUUCUUCAUCUUGCAAUCCGGUGUGCAAUUGUUCUCCCUUAUCUCUUGAGGUGGCAAUACAUCAUUCUUCAUUCACAAGAGUGAGGUAUUUAAACCCAUAACUUUCUUCCAUGGAGUUAUCUUGGGUUAUAUUUCACCUAAAGCUUUUUCCUAAGGAUUGUUGCUAAUUAUGGUGUUUAUAAAUGAUCCAAGUUCUUCUUUUAUCCUCACGAUGAAAUAGUUUCUCGUCUCCUUGUUCUUAUCAGUCCAAUCUUUUUCCGUGAGUGGCAGGUUGUCACCUCAUAAUUUUGAGAUGCUUUCCAUAAGUCCAUUUCAAGCUUAUCCUAUCGUUGUUGGUGUUCCAACAACUCCAUUCGACCCUUCUUCUAAAGAUUCUUUCAAGCUCAUUCGAGGUAGAAGAUAUUGUUUUCUCCUCCGUUCAUUCAUUCCAUCCUCUCAUUUCUUCCGGAGGCAUUGUGAUGUUGCUCUUUUCAAUCAUCAUCUCAAAUUGUGAAGAUCAUGAUCUUUGUAUGCUUAUCCUCUAACCAGAGUGUUGUGCCCUCUGCUCAAGUUCUUUUCAUCUUAUCAAGUUUCAUAUCACUUUUCAACCGGAGUGCUGCCCGAAUUUGGUCUUCCUUGUUUCUCUUUUCUAACGGAGUGUUUUCAACUUUGUUCAUCUCUGUUGUAUUCUUUUCUCGAAGUUGUUCAACAUCUCAAGGUUCUUUGGUUUCACUCAUUUUUCAAAGAAGAAGGUUAGUUUUACCUCUCGCCUUCCUCUUCCGUUUUCCCUCCGGUGCCAUCCUAGAUCUCGGGACAAGAUCCUCUCGUAGUGGUGGAGUGUUGUAACGUCCCAAAACCGGAGAUUCAGAUGUCUUCCAUGGAUUCCGGGUUUCGUCAUGUGUUUUGUUUUGCUUGUUGCAUUCCCCUUUGCAUCAUGUGCCUUGCAUCAUGUCAUCAUGUCAUCAUGCAACCCGUUUUAAAACCCAUUAAAUAAUUUGUGUGGAUCUUUGAUCCAUUGAAAUCGAGGGAAGAGUGACUUCUCUUUAUAACAUUAUCCUCCUAAUAUUUAUGGAGCAAUUAUAAAUAUUCCAUUUAUUUGGAAUUCACCUUAACACACUUGCAUAUUAAAUCCCUUGGCCUUUCUUCUUCUUCAAGUGUUGACUCUCUAACUUUGCCUUAUAUUUCUUUCAUCAUUUUCCGGAGCUCCACCAAAAAUCCGAACAUUUUUGGACACCUCUAAUUCCUAGUCCUUGUUCAAACCAUUUGAAUUAAAGUCAAAUGACUUUGAAUUAAAUUCUUGCAAUCAUGCCUCUCCUAUUUUUCCUGGACCGUGCACAUCUUUACGAGUCCGUAAAAAUUAUCCUACGUGCGUAAUUCUUUCCCUUACCCCCCUCUUCUUUUCUCUUCUCUCUAUGCUUUUUAUGUUAAAGGAAAUAGUUUAAUAGAGAGAGAGUGAGAGGCAGCCUGCACUGACUGGCCUCUUAGAAUCUCCACCAAAAGGCCCAAGGCCCUGGCCUUUUACCUCCCCACUGGGCCGGCCUCUAAGGUCCAGCCCGCACCCCUUCUAACCCUAGGCAACCCUUCCUCUCACCGCUCCCUCUCAUCCUCCCCUACCGCCGCCAACCCCACGCACCAGGAGGAGUCCCGCUCGGUUCCCUCGUCCUCCUCCCGCAGCAGUCCUCGCCCCAUGCCCGAUCCCGUGCGUCCCUCUUCCUCCCUCCUCCUUCGGUCCAGGAACCAGGCCAGAGCCUGUCGGCCUCCUCGCCGCCGUCGCGCCCACAGGGCCACCAGCAUGCCCUGCUCGGCCUCCCCAUCUGCUCCCUCAACCAUGACCCUUCGCUGCCCCUUGCCUCGUCCGCGCCGACGACCCAUAGCAGGUUGCUACUCCGCGCCGCCCCCAUAUGCCAUGGCCUCCAUUCGACAGCGCCGCGCCUCUAUCGCCCGGCGAGAUCCGCCACCAGGCAUGCUAGUGAGCUUGCCGCUGUCGUCCGCCCCGUCGUGUUCCCCUCCACCUCAAGCUGCCAUCAUCCCUUUGUGCUUGAGCAAAGGACUCCGAUGCCUCCAGCUUCCCCUCAAGCCCCGUCCGACCCUGCCUCGUCGGGGUCCAGCUCGUCGGAGCUUCGGUCCUGCACCGUUCGACCAUUCCUGCGCUCCUCGCGCUAGGUGUCUCGUGCUUCUUCGUGGCUUCAUGUUGGACUACUAAGACCGCCCGCACGACUACAAGGUUUUACGCCAACUACCUCGAAGCCCGACGCCUAAAACGACCACCGCACCGGAGAUAAUGCCAAGUACUAGUUCUACGAGGACCGCCAAGUUCGUCCUCCCCCGUCUCCGAAAUCGCCAAGUACCACGACGAUACAAGAACAACUACCGUCGACCUCGAAGACCUCGGAUUCACCAAGUUCCCACGACGACAAGUGUGACCCUUCGGAUGCGCCAAGUUCAUCUACACAAAAACGCCUCAUGUCGGCAAGACCCGCAAGUCGGACCCUAAACAAUCGGCGUCUCGUGGACCGUGUACAACUCCAUCGCCCCUAAGACGUUGGAGUCAUCAAGUACCUCUCCGAAACGAACGUGAAUGACUACCUUCACAAAAAUGGGACCGGAAAUUCCGAAGACCCCAAGUACCACGACACCGAUGACAUGGACGUCUACGGAAACUCAUGCAACGAUAAACAUGUACCACUACUGUCGCUGAGAUCACGAGAACCUCUACCGUCGACCCUAGAGCGUGCGAGAAUGACUACUUCCACUACCGUCGUCGCAAGUACGUCUACUUCCUCUACUUUGCACUGAACGAGAACUGUCCCGCUUGCAUGCUUCAAAGGUAUAACCUCGAGGCGACGUCCGUGAACGAAUGUUUGCGAUGUUUGAGAUGCUCGUGUUUGCACCCUGUUCAAAUUGUCACUCGUUUCCUUGUCGCCAACUCGUGGGACACCCGGAAUCCGGGAGCGCCCCACCAUCUUUUACACGCAUCCGCACACUUCUCCUUUGCAUCAGUAUCUCAAUCGAGUUACCGGAAUCGGAACGCUGUCGUGGCACCAUUUUCGUUAUCGUUGCCAUGACACCCCUUUCCUUUCCACCACGGUGACAAAUGCUUCACAAUUCUCUUGUCAACUUUUAAUAAAAAUUGCAUAAACUUUUUCAUGUCAUCCGCAUCAUGAUAACAACAAUUAAAAUGUUUAAAUUGUUGUUGCUUUGAAUUGCUAAAUGCAUAUGGGGUUUUACCGGAUUUGUUGUUUGUUAUAUCCGUCCCCAUUUAAAUUGUUAGAGGGUAUAGCUUGGUUAUGUUUCACGCUCUUGCCAUGUUAACCAACAUUUAAUAUUGCUGAGUACCUAUACGAGAGAGAACUAAAUAAUUGAUGUGGUGUUCCGUCAAUAUGCAACUCAUUGCAUAUUGAGCUCCACUUAACUUUUAGUUUUGUUUGUGCCAUGCCAUGCUUCAUUAAACCGGACAUGCAUCAUACUUGUUUGCGCAUCGUGCCAUGCUUAUGUGAUGGUUGUUUACUUUGUUGUUUGCUUCUUUUCGGUGUUGCUUCUUCGGGUUAGUUCCCAUAACGUCACAUUUGUGAGGAUCCGUUCGACUAUGUCUAUUUGUCUUCUUCUUGGACUCGUUCUUCUUCCUUGCGGGAUCUCAGGCAAGAUGACCAUACCCUCGAAAUCACUUCUAUCUUUGCUUGCUAGAUGCUCGCUCCUUUGCUAUGCCUAUGUUGCGACACCUACCACAUGCUUUAUCAUACCUCCCAUAUUGCCAUGUCAAGCCUCUAACCCACCUUGUCCUAGCAAACCGUUGUUUGGCUAUGUUACCACUUUGCUCAGCCCCUCUUAUAGCGUUGCUAGUUGCACGUGAAGAUUGGAGUUUGUUCCUUGCUGGAACCUGUUUAUUGUUGCGAUAUCACAAAAUCUCUUAUUUUAAUUAAUGCAUCUAUACACUUGGUAAAGGGUGGAAGGCUCGGCCUUAUGCCUGGUGUUUUGUUCCACUCUUGCCGCCCUAGUUUCCGUCAUACCGAUGUUAUGUUCCUUGAUUUUGCGUUCCUUACACGGUCGGGUUAUAAUGGGAACCCCUUGACAGUUCGCCUUGAAUAAAACUCCUCCAGCAAGGCCCAACUUUGGUUUUACCAUUUGCCACCUAGCCUUUUCUUUCCCUUGGGUUCUGCAGACUCAAGGGUCAUCUUUAUUUAAACCCCCCCGGGCCAGUGCUCCUCUAAAUGUUGGUCCAACUAGUCAGCUGCCGGUGGCCACCAGGAGCAACUCUGGGCUGGCCUACCGGAACCUUGGACAAUCCGGUGUGCCCUGAGAACGAGAUAUGUGAAGCUCCUAUCGGGAUUGUCGGCACAUUCGGCUGGCUUUGCUGGUCUUGUUUUACCAUUGUAGAAAUGUCUUGUAACCGGGAUUCCGAGUUUGAUCGGGUCUUCCUGGGAGAAGGAAUAUCCUUCGUUGACCGUGAGAGCUUGUGACGGGCUAAGUUGGGACACCCCUGCAGGGUUAUGAACUUUCGAAAGCUGUUCCCGCGGUUAUGGGCAGAUGGGAAUUUAUUAAUGUCCGGUAGUAGAAAACCUGAAACUUAUCUUAAUUAAAAUGCAUCAACCGCGUGUGUAGCUGUGAUGGUCUCUUUCCGGCGGAAUCCGGGAAGUGAACGCGGUGUUGGAGUUAUGCUUGACGUAAGUAGUCUAGGAUCACUUCUUGAUCAUAGAUUCUCGAUCGUGCUUUGCCUUCUCUUCUCGCUCUCAUUUGCGUAUGUUAGCCACCAUAUAUGCUAGUGCUUGCUGUAGCUCCACCUCACAUACCUUUUGCCUACCCAUAAGCUUAAAUAGUCUUGAUCGCGAGGGUGUGAGAUUGUUGAGUCCCCGUGACUCACAGAUACUUCCAAAACCAGUUUGCUGGUGCCGUUGAUACCGUGCAGGUGACGCAACCGAGCUCAAGGAGGAGCUCGAGGAAGAUCGUGUUCAUUAUGUUUCCAGUUGAUCAGUAGUGGAGCCCAGUCGGGGCGAUCGGGGAUCUUUUGCAUUAGGGGUAGUCUUCUUUUAUUUUGGUUCCGUAGUCGGACCUUGAUUUUAUCCGGAUGAUGUAAUGCUUUAUUCAUGUAUUAUGUGAAGUGGCGAUUGUAAGCCAACUAUGUAUCCCUUUCCUUAUUCAUUACAUGGGUUGUGUGAAGAUUGCCUCUCUUUUGACAUUGCCUACAAUGCGGUUAUGCCUCUUAGUCGUGCUCCGACACGUGGGAGAUAUAGCCGCAUUGUGGGCUUUACAAGUUGGUAAUCAGAGCCUUCCCCGACCUUAGGAGCCCCCUGCUUGAUCGAAUCGCUGUCGUUAUUGAGUCUAGAAAAAUGUUUUGAGUCAUUUAGGAUUAUAUAUAUCGGAGAGUAGGAUUCUUUUUACUCCUUAGUCCCUUCGUUGCUCUGGUGAGGUAUCCUGAUGUAGAGUUUUGACUCUUCUCUUCUCAAAUUUCACUAAAAAAAUUAGGAUCACGCGGGUAUCUUGGAAUCGUUCCGAUGGUUUUGUGACGAGAACAUUGUUCUUGGUGCCUCCUGAGGGGUUGUGGCAGUGUCUUGGGGAGUUGAGCUCCGAGGUGUUGUCGUCACAAUUUUAUCGUUGCAGUUCUGUAAUACCUGAGUUUCGCCGACAUCGAAAAUCUCCUUUAUGCAGUUGUUGGUGAGAUAACCUCGACGCUACCCAGUACUAGGGCGGGAGUUCGGGAGUAUUGCCAUAACUCGUAUAACCGAUGCUUUUCGAAGGUUGAGGUAAAUGAUUUCCGAAGGUUUCUUGGUUAUGUGUUGAAGGAUGGAUACAACUGGAUGUAGGAUUUGCUAGUUUGGGUGAGAUAUUAUGCUUCCCGUGUAUCCCCAACACCCGAUUGCAGAACCAUAAAGUUUUGGGAGUUUAUAAGUGGGAAUUCAAGUAGUUCUUAGGAUAUCUUUCCGACAGAUGCAUGAUAUGAGAUUGGGGUUCGACGUCUAGUGGUCCGCCUAUCCACGGUUGGUUUUACAGUGGUCUCGUUGUGUCUUAAAGAGUCCUUGGCUAUGCUGAAUCGGGGACGCUUCGUAUGUCAUGUGCACUGCCUUGUACAUGAUGGUGCUGUACGAUCGAGCCCGUGUGGGCCCCACCAUGAAAACUUCAUACGAAAUCUCUAUCAUAUGUUUUUUCCGGCUUAUUCUGCAAGCUAAUCCUUUGUUUUUGUUUUGAGUUGUGGUAUUCGAGUUGCUUCGAAGUCAAGUGUUGAUUCCAUACCUUUCCUAAGUGGUGUUCUUAUACUCCUACGUGAGUACUAAUCCUUCUUGAUAAUCGAGAUUGUCAUGUCAAUCCUUUUCAACCGGCGCGCUUCUCGUCAAGUGGAUCCGAUCAUUUCAACAUUUGCAAGAUCCAAUCUCAAUUUUCGUCAAUGAUGUUUGCUUCAUCUGUCCUAAAUUGCCUUUGUUUUCCCGCCCUCCCACCCUUUUUCUUCAAGGACACAUAUUUCUUAAUUCGUUAUCCAUUUUAUGGAUGUGAAGUUUUUCCAUUCUUUUCCUUCAAUGUUCUUAUCCGGUGAUUCUCAAGAAGAUACUAACGAAGUUUCAAGUUCAAUAUUCUACAUCCUUUUCCUUCUCUGGUGGAUCCAAUGCUAGCUUUCGGUGUUGAUCAUAUCUUUUUAUUUGUUUCACAUGCUUUCCAUGAUCGUCCUUACCGAAGACUCUCUUAACUGUUCACCUCUUAUUCAUUCACUUCCCGCUAUACAUUUGUUCCGGAGUGCCGAAGAUAGCUCAGAAGAUUCGUGUUUUCCACUCUGCUUUUCAUUCAAGCUCUUUCGAGAUUGGUAUCUCAUUCAAGCCAUUUAAUUCAACCGGUGAAAAUCUCUCAUUUCAAGCAAUCUCUUCAAC